GACGAACGCUGGCGGCGUGCUUAAUACAUGCAAGUCGAACGGUGAAGGUAGUGGCUUUUGCUGGUUCUAGAAGAUUGGCAAACGGGAGAGUAACACAUGAGUCCCCUGCCCCCUUCUUCUAGAUCACCUGAUGACAAUGUGUCUUACACCGUAUAUUCUGCUCCUGCUUCAUGGCUGGUGUGAGAAAGAUAUUGUUUCCGUGGGGGAUGGGCUCGCGUGCUAUCACCUUGUUGGGGGGGUGAUGGUCUACCAAGGCAGUAACCGUUACCCAGCCUGAAAGGGUAUACGGCCCCCCUGGAACUAAAACACGGCCCAAACUCCUACGGAAGGCACCAGUGGGAAAUAUUGCACAAUGAGCGCAGGCCUGACGAACCAACCCCCCUUGAUGAAUAGAGGCCUUCGAUCUGUAAACCUCUUUCUCCAAUAAAAAAGACCUGCUCCUUGUAAAUGGCUUGACGGGACCUGGAUAAAAAGCACCGGCUAACUUCACUCCAUGCCCCCCGCCAAUACAUAGGGCGCGAGCGUAGCCCUGACCUUAUGUAUUGUAAAGAACUCGUACGCAGGUGGUCACAUCUGUCGUGAAAUCCACUGGGUUACUUGGCCGAUUGCCGCGUUUACAACUCUUUUUCAUUGCUGCAAGAGAGACUAGGACUACUCCAUGUAGUCGCGGAAUGCGCAUAUAUCAGAAAUAACACCGGCGGCGAAGGCGAAUCUCUGCUCCGUUACUGACAAUGAGGAGUGAGACUCGUAGAGAGCGAACAGCAUUAUAUCCCCUGGUACCCCACCCCAUACACUUAGGGCAAUAGGUGUGGGGGGCUUUUUCCGGUUCUUCCGCGCGGUAGGUAACGCAUUCUCCGCCCCGCCUGGGGAGUGCGUCCGCAAGCAUAAUACUCAAUGAAAUGGAUGGGGGCCCACCCGAGCGGCGGAGCAUGCAGAUUAAUUAGAUGCAACGAGAAGAACGUUCCCAAGCCUUUACAUGCACCGGUCGGCUCCGGAGAGGGAGUUUCCUCUCUGUGGGGCCGGUUCACACAUGGGGCACAGUUGUGUUCACAUCGUGUGUUGAGAGAUUGGGUUAAAUCUCGCAACGAGAGCAACACCUUGUUCCUUUGUAGCCAGCAUCGUUGGGUGGGGACUCGCGGGAGACUGCCGGGUUCAACUCGGAGGAAGGUGGGGAUGACGUCAAAUCAUCAUGCCCCUUAUGUCUUGGGCUUCACGCAUGCUACAAUGGCCGGUACAGAGGGCUGCGAUACCGUGAGGUGCAGCGAAUCCUUUAAAACCCGUUUCAGUUUGGAUCGGUGUGUGCAACUUGACACCGAGAAGUUGGAGUCGCUAGUAAUUGCAGAUCAGCAACGCUGCGGUGAAUACGUUCUCGGGCCU
rnacentral:rRNA from 1 species